rnacentral:rRNA from 1 species
UACGUAGGGUGCGAGCGUUAAUCGGAAUUACUGGGCGUAAAGCGUGCGCAGGCGGUUCGUUGUGUCUGCUGUGAAAGCCCCGGGCUCAACCUGGGAAUGGCAGUGGAUACUGGCAAGCUAGAGUGCGGUAGAGGGUAGUGGAAUUCCCGGUGUAGCGGUGAAAUGCGUAGAGAUCGGGAGGAACACCAGUGGCGAAGGCGGCUACCUGGACCAGCACUGACACUGAGGCACGAAAGCGUGGGGAGCAAACAGG